UAAUUCCUGCUGUGUGCGUAAGUGUAAAUUUUUAUUGACCGAACACCUUUUAAGAGGAAAUCCAACUCUUUUUGUGGAAUGAUACUUAGGCAUUGCCUAAGAACAGGAAGCAGAAAGGCGAUUUCCACCUGUUUGACGCGGGUUCAAUGAUUUGCACUUACGGCAUUGGCGGGUAUUAU
rnacentral:other from 1 species